UACGUAGGUGGCAAGCGUUACUCGGAAUCACUAGGCGUAAAGCGCAGGUAGGCGGUUUGAUAAGUCUGUUGUGAAAGCUCCCGGCUUAACUGGGAGAGGUCAACGGAAACUGUCAGGCUAGAGUGUGGUAGAGGUAGCUGGAAUUCCCGGUGUAGCGGUGAAAUGCGUAGAUAUCGGGAGGAAUACCUAUGGCGAAAGCAGGCUACUGGACCAUCACUGACGCUGAUCUGCGAAAGCUAGGGGAGCAAACAGG
rnacentral:rRNA from 1 species